CUGAGCAAUGUCUGUAUCCCUCGUGAGGGAAACAAGAUCUAGAGAAGAACUUCCAUCAUCCUCUUGGAGCUCCAAGGUGCAAAGUCACCAAUUCUACAGAGGAGAUUUGGUCCCGUACAUGUAAUAGCAAGAAGGGGUGAUGAUUAAUCUUCAAUGCUCCAUGCAACGUGGUGGAUUUCUGUGGCUCUUUGUAGCCUUGUGAGGCACCAUCUGGCUCUUGGGGUAAAAGUAGAAACCAGGCGCCACUGCCAAUAGUGCGUGAUGCCUGGGAAAGGAUCUCUGGACCAUACUGCCUGGAAUCGAAUCUCUGUUUGGACCCAGCAUGUCUUGCUUGGUAUAGGACCUCAGGUAACUUGCAUCUCUGGGUGUGUUAAAAUGGGUGUAAUGAUACCUUCUGGUUCAUGGCUGUUGUGAAGAUUAAAUGGCAAUGCUCACAAGGGUAGCAUACGUAGAAAGCUCCCCGGAAUGGAACACUCUAUAUAAUCCUGUGCAAAUACAUUUUUAAUGAAUACAGUAAUAUAAUUAUUACACAAAUAUUAUAUGCACAUAUAUCAUUAUACACUAUAUGCAAUGCAAUCUAUAAUGAUAAUGUUUGUAACAUAAAAUACAUUAUAAAAAGAUAAUAAAUGUGGUAUGCAUUAUAAUGUAGUAUGCAUUUAUUAUAAUAUAGAAUUAUAGUAUAUAUAGUAUGCAAUAUAGAAGAGAUUAUAUCUAUAUUGUGUUAUAUAUUACAUAUUAUAAGAUAGUCUAUAUUACAAUAUACAGACGGGGCAGAGAGGGAGACUUAUGUACAGACAUAUAUAUGGGUUGUAUGUGUAUAAAUGGUGCAUUCAGUUAAAAACAUCAGCAACAAGCCUCUAACAUGCUUCUUUUUCUUUUUCUUUUUUUUCUUUUUUUGCUAUUUCUUGGGCCGCUCCCACGGCAUAUGGAGGUUCCCAGGCUAGGGGUCCAAUCGGAGCCGUAGCCACCAGCCUACGCCAGAGCCACAUUGUUACGGGAUUCCAGCUGCAUCUGCAAUCUACACCACAGCUCUCGGCAACGCCGGAUUGUUAACCCACUGAGCAAGCGCAGGGACCGAACCCGCAACCUCAUGGUUCCUAGUCGGAUUCGUUAACCACUGCGCCACGACGGGAACUCCAACAUGCUUCUUUUUCAAAGAAUGAUGACCUGACAAUGGCCCAUAAAGGAUGGCAUCCAUUCCCUCUCAUUGACCCAGGACAUCUUGUGUUCUCUUUGUCAACAUCCAAUUUUAUCCUACUUUACACAACAUGAAAUAGUUUCAUCACCCCACCCAGAGAAAGGAAGAGAAAGCCCAGAAUGGAAAGUCUGAUCAUGGGAAAGAAAGAAAGAGAUUUAGCAAGAAUAGAAUGCUACCACGGCCAAGGACAUAGGUUUGGUAAAUGCAGGGAAAAUUGGUACCUACACUCCUGCAACUGACUCUGUGAAUGAAAUCAGUGCAUGCGUUUUAACAUAUGUCCAGGAUCCCCAGGGACCCGGGUACUUAGAAAAAACUUCAUAUUUUCAAAUAGGAAGAUCUUUGCUAUUUGUUGCUCAUUACAGUGUUUGCUGAUAUACCAGAAAUGACAUUUGAACAGAAAAAGAACACAAAAUGAAUGAGAGGAAAAUAAAGAAAUAAUUAAUUGGAUAUUUGUCAUGAAACUUGAAGCUUAUGAGCAACCAUGUCACAGGAGGAAACCAAUGGAUGCAGUUUUCCUCAUGUCCUAAACAGAUGGUUUUGAGAGGAUAACAUGAGCUGUGUGAUGGUGUGGAAAGAGGCCAUGCCGCUGGGGGAAGCGGGGUGAAAUGGGUCUUGCAGGUGGUGCAGGGUGUGGAGGAGAGACUGGUGUGGACAAACUUGCCAUAGUUUCUUCCUGCCAUCUUUGAGUUUUUAAAACAUAAAACUAGUGUGAAGUCCCCUGCAUGCCAUUUCAUUUCCUUCCUUCUAUUCCCACAAAACUCAGUUUGCUUUUAACAGUGUCUGGGAUCACUGAAUUGUCUUAUCAUUCUAAUACAUAUGUGUGUGUGUGUCUAUCAUCUAUGUGUCCCGUUCUAUCAACUAUCUAUCGUCUGUGUCUUUAACACUAUCAGUCACCUAUCAUCUAUAUUUCUGCCUGGUUCUAUAUCUAUCAUCUUACUAGCUCUAUCAAUUAUCUAUCUAUCUAUCCUUUGUUUAACGCAGUGAAUUUUAUUACAUUUAUAGUUGUACAAUGAUCAUCACAACCCAAUUUUACAGCAUCUCCAUUCCCAACCUCCAGCCCAUUCCCCCAUCCCACAACCUAUCUCCUUUGGAAACCAUACAUGUUUCAAAUAUAUAAGUCAGUAUCUGUUCCGCAAAGUUCAUUGUGUUCUUUUUUUUAAAUUCCACUUGUAAGUAUGUGAUGUUGAUGUUUCACUAACUUCACUUGGCAUGAUCAUUACGAGGUCCAUCCAUGUUGGUGAAAAUGCCAUUAUUUCUUUCUUUUUAAGGGCUGAGUAAUAUUCCAUUGUGCAGAUGUACCACAUCUUCUUAAUCCACUCCUCUGUCAAUGGGCUAUCAUCUUGCUACAUCCAUCCAUCCUCUCUCCACAAGCGAACUACCCAUUUUUAAAACUUAAGCAAAUGGUGUCAGUCUGAAGGUCCCUUCUUUUAUUCGCAAUUCAACUUGAGACUUGAUUCAGUUGAUAUUUGUAACACCAGCUUAUUCAUUUUAGUUAUCAUUAAUUAUCCCAUAUGUGGGUGGUUUCUGAUUUGUCAUCAUUAUGAGCAAGAAACUAUAAACACUCUUGUCCAUACUCUGCACGUGGCCUGAGCUUCUGUGGAAGAGACAGCUGGCUGGAGGGGAGAGGGCAUCUUCAACUCUGCAGACGCUCUGAGGAAUCUUUCCAAAGUGCUCAGUCCACAUACCCUCUAAUAGUGUGGGGAUCCCUUUGGCUUCAUGAUAGCCUCGAUGCUUGAGACUAUCUGACAAAUGUUUGCCCAGACUAAGGGAGUCUUAUUGUUUUAUUUUAAAUGAUUUUUAUUUUUUCCAUGAUAGCUGGUUUACAGUAUUCUGUCAGUUUUCUACUGGACAGCAAAGUGACCCAGUCACAACAUACAUGUAUACAUUCUUUUUCUUACAUUAUCCUCCAUCAUGCUCCAUCAUAAGUGACUAGGCACAGUUCCCAGGGCUACACAGCAGGAUCUCAUUGCUUCUCCAUUCCAAAAGCAAUCGUCUGCAUCUAUUAACCCCAGAUUCCCAGUCCAUCCCACUCCUUGCCUCUCCCCCUUGGCAACCACAAGUCUGUUCUCCAAGUCCAUGAUUUUCUUUUCUGAGGAAAGGUUCCUUUGUGCCAUAUAUUAGAUUCCAGACAUGAGUGAUAUCAUGUGGUAUUUGUCUUUCUCUUUCUGACUUACCUCACUUAUUAUGAGUCUCUCAUUCCAUCCAUGUUGCUGCAAAUGGCAUCAUUUUGUUCUUUUUUAUGGCUGAAUAGUAUUCCAUUGUGUAUAUAUAUCACAACUUCUUAACCCAUUCAUCUGUCGAUGGACAUUUAGGUUGUUUCCAUGUUUGGCUCUUGUGAAUAGUGCUGCAAUGAACAUAUGAGUGCAUGUGUCUAUUUCAAGGAAAGUUUUGUCUGGAUACAUGCCCAAGAGUGUGAUUUCUGGGUCAUACAGUAGUUCUGUAUUUAGUUUUCUGAGGGAUCUCCAUACUGUUUUCCAUAGUGGUUGUACUAAUUUACAUUCCCAUCAACAUUGUAGGAGGUUUCCCUUUUCUUAAGGGAGUCUUAUUGAGGUUUCAACUUGAAUUUGUCUGUCCAUAGUAAUGGACAUAAGAUGUCAUUGUGUAAUUCAUUUCCUCUUUUCUUUUUUCUUUUUCUUUUUAAGGCCACAUCUGAAGCAUAUGCAAGUUCCCAGGCUAGGUGUCAAAUUGGAGCUGCAGCUGCAGCCUAUGCCACAGCCAUGGCCACACCAGAUCCGAGCUACAUCUGUGACCUACCCUGAGGCUUGUGGCAAUGCCAGAUCCUUCACCCACUGAGCAAGGGCAGGAAUCGAACCUGCAUCUUUACGGAUAUUAUGUCAGGUCUUUAACCCGCUGAGCCACAAGGGGAACUCCCAAUUUCCUAUUUUCUAUGGCGUUUUUCUCCACUUCUCCUUUUUUUGAUUUGUGGAAAUACAUGCUUGUGUAUACUUGUAUGCAUUUUUAUAAAUAUGUAUAUCAUUUACAUAUACAUAUAUUCUUAAAGAUAUGAGUAUAUUAUAAUAUAUUCUGGAUACUAAUCAAAAACACUUGAGGUGAAGCCUUGACACAUUCUUGGCUUUUCUCUCUACUGACAGUACAUUUUUAUUUUUAGAAAUAGUAAUCACCUUAGUGUUCAAAUUAAUUGUCUUUGUUUUAAAAUAACUGGGUCUUUUCCUGUUUUAAGUUCAGGCAGGAAUCCUCCAUCACAAUGCCACUAGACUGGCUUUCGUCUCUUUCUUGCACGGCGUGCCUAAUCAGGCUUUUCCUAUUAUGCCUCUUACAUAAUGAAGCAGACGGGAUGGCCAUUUAAGAUGAUAACCAGUAUUAAAAGCAUGUUCUGUUGUUUUUCUGGGUUGAGCACUUUGGGCUAUUUUUGGAAACGACUGCCCCAUAAACACCCAGAUCCUCAUUAUCACAUUACACAGAUAUAUCAGGAUGUUUUCAAAGUACUUUUAAAUCAUUUUUAUUCGUUAUUACCCUGCACCCUCGCUUUUUAAUUGGAAGGCAUUGCCUCUCAGUACUAAAUUCCUAAUGAAGUCCCCAGAUGCAACCUGCCCCCAUCCUUUUUUUUUUUUUUUAAUAGCAAGCCGACACCAUUUGAAGGAGGAAUACAUGCUUUUUAAUGGUGUUGUUCAUGUUGGUACAACUAGGAACCAAUCCCUGGAUCUCAGAAACAUAAAUUCCACCCAAGCUUGUUCUAGAGCUUUCUAAAUGGGGGUUAUUGCCUUUGACAAGUCUAGGUCUUGUGAAGCAAGCUUUAAAAAAAAACUCCCUUUGCUGAGCCUGAGGAUGCUGUUGUGGAGUAUAAUGCAACACUACACGCUAGAGGAUAGGACAGUCAGAGAAAGACACACUGGUCUGCAUCCACUUAGACAAGGAGCUGAGAAGACUCAAAACCAGAGAGGGAGAGAGCAGACUGGUGGGUACCAGGGAUGUGGGGAGGGGAAAAAGGGGAGUUAGGGUUUCACAGGCAUGCAGUUUCAGCUUUGGGACAUGCGCAUUCCAGAGAGCAGUGGUUGGGAUGGUGGCUCAACAGGGUGGAUGAACUUAGUACCGUUGAACCGUACAGUUAAAAAGUUACAAUGGACAUUUUUCAGUGAGGCUUAUUUUCACCCCGACUGAAAUGUGUUUCACUCCCUUUACAGCUGAUCAACGCAGCGUCAUCGUCCACAAGACAGUGUAGGUGAGCAAAGGAAGAAAUGAUACAGUCUAUAGGCAUAAUUUCCAUUGGCCGUUCCAGCAUCUUUGUGCUUUCUGCUGCUUGUUUGGAUGGAAAACACACAUGAAAGCAGGUCCCCAUGCCAAGCUCUUUCCUAGGAGUGUUUUUCCUACCAAAAUAUAUUCCACAUGCAACAUGGUGGACACUUAUGGUGUGCCACAUGAGCUUUCGAUGUAUUUCUAUAUCAUAAUGUGAUGGCUACUGUAGCCAUUGUUGGCAUCUCUAUCAUGCUACAUACUUAUUUUUUUUCAAGAUAUUUUCUUGCUGUACAGCACAGGGAGCUGUGUCCAGUCUCUUGGGUUAGAAGAGGAUGGAAAAUGGAAAAAAAAAAAAAA
rnacentral:lncRNA from 1 species